GAUGAACGCUGGCGGCGUGCCUAAUACGUGCAAGUCGAGCGAACGGACGAGAAGCUUGCUUCUCUGAUGUUAGCGGCGGACGGGUGAGUAACACGUGGAUAACCUACCUAUAAGACUGGGAUAACUUCGGGAAACCGGAGCUAAUACCGGAUAAUAUUUUGAACCGCAUGGUUCAAAAGUGAAAGACGGUCUUGCUGUCACUUAUAGAUGGAUCCGCGCUGCAUUAGCUAGUUGGUAAGGUAACGGCUUACCAAGGCAACGAUGCAUAGCCGACCUGAGAGGGUGAUCGGCCACACUGGAACUGAGACACGGUCCAGACUCCUACGGGAGGCAGCAGUAGGGAAUCUUCCGCAAUGGGCGAAAGCCUGACGGAGCAACGCCGCGUGAGUGAUGAAGGUCUUCGGAUCGUAAAACUCUGUUAUUAGGGAAGAACAUAUGUGUAAGUAACUGUGCACAUCUUGACGGUACCUAAUCAGAAAGCCACGGCUAACUACGUGCCAGCAGCCGCGGUAAUGCGUAGGUGGCAAGCGUUAUCCGGAAUUAUUGGGCGUAAAGCGCGCGUAGGCGGUUUUUUAAGUCUGAUGUGAAAGCCCACGGCUCAACCGUGGAGGGUCAUUGGAAACUGGAAAACUUGAGUGCAGAAGAGGAAAGUGGAAUUCCAUGUGUAGCGGUGAAAUGCGCAGAGAUAUGGAGGAACACCAGUGGCGAAGGCGACUUUCUGGUCUGUAACUGACGCUGAUGUGCGAAAGCGUGGGGAUCAAACAGGAUUAGAUACCCUGGUAGUCCACGCCGUAAACGAUGAGUGCUAAGUGUUAGGGGGUUUCCGCCCCUUAGUGCUGCAGCUAACGCAUUAAGCACUCCGCCUGGGGAGUACGACCGCAAGGUUGAAACUCAAAGGAAUUGACGGGGACCCGCACAAGCGGUGGAGCAUGUGGUUUAAUUCGAAGCAACGCGAAGAACCUUACCAAAUCUUGACAUCCUUUGACAACUCUAGAGAUAGAGCCUUCCCCUUCGGGGGACAAAGUGACAGGUGGUGCAUGGUUGUCGUCAGCUCGUGUCGUGAGAUGUUGGGUUAAGUCCCGCAACGAGCGCAACCCUUAAGCUUAGUUGCCAUCAUUAAGUUGGGCACUCUAAGUUGACUGCCGGUGACAAACCGGAGGAAGGUGGGGAUGACGUCAAAUCAUCAUGCCCCUUAUGAUUUGGGCUACACACGUGCUACAAUGGACAAUACAAAGGGCAGCGAAACCGCGAGGUCAAGCAAAUCCCAUAAAGUUGUUCUCAGUUCGGAUUGUAGUCUGCAACUCGACUACAUGAAGCUGGAAUCGCUAGUAAUCGUAGAUCAGCAUGCUACGGUGAAUACGUUCCCGGGUCU
rnacentral:rRNA from 1 species